rnacentral:rRNA from 1 species
UUUAGUGGCGAACGGGUGCGUAAUACGUGAGAAUCUGCCCUUAGGAUGAGUAUAACUGCUGGAAACGGCUGCUAACACUCAAUAUGUCGAGAGAUGAAAUAAUUUAUUGCCUAAGGAUGAGCUCGCGCCUGAUUAGCUAGUUGGUGAGGUAAUGGCUCACCAAGGCCACGAUCAGUAGCUGGUUUGAGAGAACGAUCAGCCACACUGGGACUGAGACACGGCCCAGACUCCUCCGGGAGGCAGCAGUGAGGAAUUUUCCGCAAUGGGCGAAAGCCUGACGGAGCAAUACCGCGUGAGGGAUGACGGAUUUUGGUCUGUAAACCUCUUUUCUCAAGAAAGAAGUUCUGACGGUACUUGAGGAAUAAGCAUCGGCUAACUCCGUGCCAGCAGCCGCGGUAAUACGGGGGAUGCAAGCGUUAUCCGGAAUCAUUGGGCGUAAAGCGCCUGUAGGUUGUUUAAUAAGUCUGUUGUUAAAGACUAGGGCUUAACCCUAGAAAAGCAAUGGAAACUACUAGACUAGAGUAUGGCAGGGGUAGAGGGAAUUUCUAGUGUAGCGGUGAAAUGCGUAGAUAUUAGAAAGAACACCGGUGGCGAAAGCGCUCUACUGGACCAUUACUGACACUCAGAGGCGAAAGCUAGGGUAGCAAAAGGGAUUAGAUACCCCUGUAGUCCUAGCCGUAAACGAUGGAUACUAGAUGUUGUGUUUUAUAUACAGUAUCGUAGCUAACGCGUUAAGUAUCCCGCCUGGGGAGUACGCUCGCAAGGGUGAAACUCAAAGGAAUUGACGGGGGCCCGCACAAGCGGUGGAGCAUGUGGUUUAAUUCGAUGCAACGCGAAGAACCUUACCAGGGCUUGACAUACUACAGAUUCUUUAGAGAUAGAGAAGUGCCUUCGGGAAU